GUAUAUAAUUCCCAUUUCAUUCAGUUUCACAGGAAUCCUAACCCUCACACGACUAUGAUGGCUGAGAAAAUCAGACUCCACCACCAAGACGACAAUGAUGACGACUGACUAACGUGAGCCGGAGAUGGUCUGUUUCGUAACAGAUCGCACCUUCUUAAAGAUGAAGGCUAAUCAAAGAACCAAGAAGCCCAUCUUAAUCACCGUGAAACCUUUCCGUACAGUGUGAAUGCAGAGCAAUCCUGUGUCAAUGGCCGGGAAUGAUUAACGGGCGAGACCACCCAGAUCUUCUGUAUAUUCAUGAAUCCUAGUGAGGAAUUCGAACCCAUGCCCCUUCUUGUACAUCUGCUGGAGAAGAGCCUUGAGGCAGAGAACAAACUGGAGCCGGAGAGAAAAACCCAGUUGGGCAAGAAGCUAGGACUGCAACCCAGACAGGCUGCUGUUUGGUUUGAAAAGAAGCGUGCUUGAUGGAAGACUAAGCAGCUUGAAUGGAAUUAUGAUCUUCUCAAAUCUGAUUAUGACUCUCUUUUGGCUAAUUAGGACUCUUUUUCCAAGGAGAAUGAGAAGCUCAAAUCUGAGGGAAUGCCUUCUCCCUGUUCCUAAGGGAAAAUUCUGUAAAUCAGAUUUACAGAACCUAACCAGUAUCUCAGGUAUCGUUCAUACCCAAAAAUUAUAAUCUGCAAACCAGUUUCUUUCUCAUUUUUAUGCUUUUCCUUGCUCAUUGUUUAUCUCUCUUUUGUCAUUAUUUCAUUAUUAAAGUUGUGGCGUAGGAUUCCAUUGGUGAAGACUAAGGAUGACUGCAUGCAUGCAAGCUCUUACCGUUUGUUAAGCAAAUCUCCUUUUCAAUUGAACUUUACUAUUGAUAUUAUUCCUUUUAUACGGUACCAACUUCUGCAUGAAUGUAAAUCAGGAAAAUAGAGAUUUGCAGUCUUGUGUUCCCUCCAUUUAGAUUUCAAGGAAUUGGUUGAUAAGGAAUGCUUUCAAAUGUUAUUUCUUUUUUAGCUCCGUUUCUUUUUUAUUGAUAUGCUGAGAUGUUUGGUAUUUUCACAUUAUUUGACCUUUGAUUGAGAUGCUUGAAUACCCAGAUGUACAAUUUGGAAGGGUUUUCUUAACAGUGGGCUUCAAAUUCCCUUGUUGCUGUAUGAUCUAUUGCUGAGCUAUCCUGGUGGUGUUAGAAAUUUGGCUUUACAUGUCUUUUUGUUCUCCGACCUUGUUACAAAGCACAUUUUGACAACUGUUCCCGAUGAGAUUGUUGACAUCUGCUUGACACUUUUAGGCUACAUACAAAUUAGAAAAUAAGGUUUGGGGUUGUGUAAAUAAGAAAGUUUGCAAUGAUAACUCUGUUUAAUAAAAUACAUAUGAAAUUUUGGGUGUUUGGGUGAAGAGAAACGUUCAAGGAUUGCCUUAGGUUCUCUUGCCUCUUGUGUGCGAUGGUGUGUUGUGUGUCUCUCUUCUUGUCUCUCAUUUGCUUUCUUCCCAUUUCAAUCUUUUUUUUCCCUCUCCAAUAUCACUCUUUGCAUUUUGUUUCUGCUUUUUCCUCUCUUCUUUCUCUGUAUCCUUUCUCGCUUGACUUUAUUUCUCUAUUUGGUUUUUUCUUUAUUUUCUCUUUUUUGUUAUCUCUUUACUUUUUCUCACUACUUUUUCUUUAUACACUUUUUCCCCUUUUUUCUCUCUAUUUUCUUUCUCAAAUACACGAUCUACUUUCUUUCUAGUAUUCUACUCUGUUUCUUCUUAACUUUCUCUUGCUGCAUUUUGUCUCUCACAUUUUCUGCCAUCUUUCUCUUAUUAAGUUCUCCAUGCACUUUAUUUAUAGUUUGCUUUCAAAAUAAUUUAUUCCAUAUGCUAUCAAUGCUUAGUUUUGAUGUCCUUAAAAAAAUUUAAAUAUAAAAAGUAACUACUAUUAUAAUAUAUACAAAAUAAAAAAUAUUAAAAAAGCAAUCAGUAAACAAGUAAGAAAUUGUGAAGACAAUUUAAGAAAACGAUGCAUGUAACACAAAUUUAUAUGAAUUCAAAAGACUUUUUUAAGUGGAAAAUUUUUUGAAAAAGAUAACUUAAGAAAAUUUUUUUUUUUUUCAAAUUUAACUAACUGAAAAACGAUGAAAGAAAAAACAAUAAAAAAUAAAGAACUGAAAUCAAAAGGACAAGUUAAGAAAGUAAAGAAAAGUGAAGAAACUAGUAAUCUCGCAAACUAGAUGUUAAGAAAGCUUAGAAACCAGUAGCUGAAGUAAGAAAUCAGCAAAAUUUUGAUAUUGUUGUAAAAUGGAUAUUGCAAAAUUUUAAUAUAUAUUUUUAUUCUUACAUUAAAAAAGUUUUUUAAGAAAGUGAAGAACCUAGAACCCAUAAACUAGAUGUUAAGAAAGUUAAAAAAGUUAAGAAACUAGUUGCUUAAGUAAGAAAUCAACAAAAUUUUGAUAUUUAAAAAAAAAAUGAAUAUUGCUAAAUUUUGAUUUUUUUUUAUUCUUUCAUUAAAGAAACUUAUAUAUUUUAUUUUAUUUGUCGUGGAAAAAUACUUGUAUAUUUUAAAACAUAUUCUAAUUUAAUAUAUUUUGAAUUUUAAUAUGACAAAAAUCUCCAGUAAAUUCUUUCAUUACACAUGUAAAUAUAUUUCCUAUUUACCUUAAAAAAUAAAUAGGAAACUGAAAUUUAACUUAAAAAAUCAAUUUUGGGAUAAAAGACUUGUUACUUUCAAAAUAAAUAAAAGACUUGCUAGAUAGUUAUUUUUAAUAAUUUGCUAAAUAAAUAAGAAUGUACUAUAACUUUAAAAAAUUUAGUCUAGGAGAAUACUUAGAGGUAAUUAAUUGAUGAUAUUAAGGACAUCAAGUAGGAUCUUAUAAGAAAGCAUUGAUAGCUUGUGGAAUAAAUUGUUUACUUGGUGGCAAUUGCCAAAUGUAGAAAGCAACUAGAAUAAGGAGCUAGAGUAAUUAAAAAGAGAAUAUAGUAGAAAAAGUGUAGAGAGAGAAAGUGGAAAUAGAAGGUUUAGAAGAUAAUAAGAGAGAAAGUGUAGAUGGAGAAAGUGGUGGAAGGUGUAAGAUAAAGUGGAGAGAAACAUAAAUGAGAGAGAAAUUAAAAGAGAGAAUGGAGAUAAAAUUUAGAUGGAGAAGAUGGUGCAAGGGAGAAAGUAAAGACAAGGUAUAGUUGAUAAAGUAGAGAUAGAAUGCAGAAAAGUAAAGAAAUGGAGGAAAAUAGAGAGAGAAAUGGGGAGAGAAAGUAAUAGAUAGAUAUAGAUAGAAGAGAGAAAAAGUAGAGAGUCAAAAGGAAGGGGGGGAGUUUUUGAAUUAUUAUUAUUUUUUUUUUUUAAGGAUAUGUAUAAUUUACAUUAAUCAUUGUAAAUUUAAUUGCAGUAAUUAUUGUCUUUUAUUAUUCAAAAACAAAAUUGUCUUUAAUUUUUUUUUCAAUUUUCAAUUACAACUUGAACCAACAAUGUUGGUUUGGCUUC